AUUUGUUCUUUUUUUUUGCACGUUUGAUGUUUUCUUUGACCUGGUUCCAUGAUGCUUCUUUGUUCCGUGGCUGCCCGUGGGAAGAUGAAUCUCAGGGUUGUAUACUGCAUACAUACUUUAAUGGAAUUCUGCAGAUGCUAGAAAUUCAAGCAACACACAUCAAAGUUGCUGGUGAACGCAGGCUGGUUUUUCCUUCUAAUUAAUCUAGCGAAAAAUCAUUUGCAAUCCCCUGAGUACUGGACAGGAACAGCACAAGAGAUACAGUGUCAAAGAGGCUCUUCUGGCCCAACAUCCAGCAAUCCAUCUAUUUCGCUGUGAAAUGGAGACAUUUCUUUCUCCCUUAUUAGGGGGAGAGAGAGCCUGUGGCAUCCGUUAGUCUCAUGAGACCAUGGAUUUGCACCUUGGAAGAUUUCCAGGGCGCAGGCCUGGGCAAGGUUGUAUGGAAGACCGGCAGUUGCCCAUGUUGCAAGUCUCCCCUCUCCACGCCACCGAUGUCGUCCAAGGGAAGGGCACUAGGGCCAAUACAGCUUGGCACCGGUGUCGUCGCAGAGCAAUGUGUGGUUAAGUGACUUGCUCAAGAACACAACAUACUGCCUCAGCUGAGGCUCGAACUAGCGACCUUCAGAUCACUAGACCAACGCCUUAACCAC